rnacentral:rRNA from 1 species
GUAUAGGGUGUGAUGCCUGCCCGGUGCUGGAAGGUUAAUUGAUGGUGUAAUCGCAAGAGAAGCACCUGAUCGAAGCCCCAGUAAACGGCGGCCGUAACUAUAACGGUCCUAAGGUAGCGAAAUUCCUUGUCGGGUAAGUUCCGACCUGCACGAAUGGCAUAAUGAUGGCCAGGCUGUCUCCACCCGAGACUCAGUGAAAUUGAAAUCGCCGUGAAGAUGCGGUGUACCCGCGGCUAGACGGAAAGACCCCGUGAACCUUUACUAUAGCUUGACACUGAACAUUGAAUUUUGAUGUGUAGGAUAGGUGGGAGCCUUUGAAGCAGUGACGCCAGUCAUUGUGGAGGCGAGCUUGAAAUACCACCCUUUAACGUUUGAUGUUCUAACGAAGAUGACGAAACGUGGUCUCGGACAGUGUCUGGUGGGUAGUUUGACUGGGGCGGUCUCCUCCCAAAGCGUAACGGAGGAGCACGAAGGUUUGCUAAUCACGGUCGGACAUCGUGAGGUUAGUGCAAUGGUAUAAGCAAGCUUAACUGCGAGACAGACAAGUCGAGCAGGUACGAAAGUAGGUCAUAGUGAUCCGGUGGUUCUGAAUGGAAGGGCCAUCGCUCAACGGAUAAAAGGUACUCCGGGGAUAACAGGCUGAUACCGCCCAAGAGUUCAUAUCGACGGCGGUGUUUGGCACCUCGAUGUCGGCUCAUCACAUCCUGGGGCUGAAGUAGGUCCCAAGGGUAUGGCUGUUCGCCAUUUAAAGUGGUACGCGAGCUGGGUUUAGAACGUCGUGAGACAGUUCGGUCCCUAUCUGCCGUGGGCGUAGGAGAAUUGGUUGGGGCUGCUCCUAGUACGAGAGGACCGGAGUGGACGCACCACUGGUGUUCCGGUUGUGUCGCCAGACGCAUUGCCGGGUAGCUAAGUGCGGAAGAGAUAAGUGCUGAAAGCAUCUAAGCACGAAACUUGCCAAGAGAUGAGUUCUCCCAAUCUAAGAGAUAGUAAGGGUUGUUGUAGACUACGACGUAGAUAGGUCUGGUGUAUAAGUGUAGUGAUACAUUGAGCUAACAGAUACUAAUUGCCCGAGAGGCUUAACUAU